UCACCUCUCAAGCCUGGCUUGGUGUUGGACCUUUAGGCCUGGGCUUCGCCCCUGGCCGGUCCCAAAAGUAAUGACGGCGUCGCGUGGACUCUCGGUGCAACGAGCUUUUUUACAAGGCACGCAGCGAGUGGAAAGGUCCCGUGGCACGGUCCCUAACCUUUAAUCUUCUCAA
rnacentral:misc_RNA from 1 species